UGGGGAAUAUUGCACAAUGGAGGGAACUCUGAUGCAGCGACGCCGCGUGAACGAAGAAGGCUUUCGAGUCGUAAAGUUCUUUUAUAUGGGAAGAUAAUGACGGUACCAUAAGAAAAAGCCCCGGCUAACUACGUGCCAGCAGCCGCGGUAAUACGUAGGGGGCUAGCGUUGUCCGGAAUCACUGGGCGUAAAGGGUUCGCAGGCGGAAAUGCAAGUCAGGUGUAAAAGGCAGUAGCUUAACUACUGUAAGCAUUUGAAACUGCAUAUCUUGAGAAGAGUAGAGGUAAGUGGAAUUUUUAGUGUGGCGGUGCAAGGCGUAGAUAUUAAAAAGAAUACCGGUGGCGAAGGCGACUUACUGUACUCAUUCUGACGCUGAGGAACGAAAGCGUGUGUAGCAACCAGG
rnacentral:rRNA from 1 species